rnacentral:rRNA from 1 species
GGACCCGCACAAGUAGUGGAGCAUGUGGUUUAAUUCGAUGAUACGCGAGGAACCUUACCAGGGCUUAAAUGUAGUGGGACAGGUCUAGAGAUAGACCCUUCUUCGGACUCAUUACAAGGUGCUGCAUGGUUGUCGUCAGCUCGUGCCGUGAGGUGUCAGGUUAAGUCCUAUAACGAGCGCAACCCCUAUCGUUAGUUGCCAGCGAGUAAUGUCGGGAACUCUAACGAAACUGCCGGUGCAAACCGAGAGGAAGGUGGGGAUGACGUCAAAUCAUCACGGCCCUUACGUCCUGGCUACACACGUGCUACAAUGGUCGGUACAGAGAGCAGCCACUACGCGAGUAGGAGCG